AAAGCCAUAGAAUUUGGGUACGAAUGGACUAUUGGUGAUGGCAAGAAAAAUUGGUUUUGGGAGGGGACCUGGUUUGGUACCUCCCCUCUUGUUGUCCAUUUCUGGCAUGUCUAUAUCAUCUUUAAUGAAACUUCUAAAACCAUUGUUGAUGUUUGGGACGGGACCCAAUUAAAGCUAACAUUUAGAAGGAACUUUGAUGGUUGGCUUAUGGAGUUGUGGUACCAACUGCUAGGGAUUGUUAGCCUGCCCCAACCCCCCAACAACCUGGUCUGGAGCAAACCCAAUCCAAAGAAAAUUGUGUUGUGA
rnacentral:rRNA from 1 species